rnacentral:rRNA from 1 species
UUCCUACGGGAGGCAGCAGUGAGGAAUAUUGGACAAUGGAGGCAACUCUGAUCCAGCCAUGCCGCGUGCAGGAAGACGGCCCUAUGGGUUGUAAACUGCUUUUAUACGGGAAGAACCACAUCUACGUGUAGAUGCUUGACGGUACCGUAUGAAUAAGGACCGGCUAACUCCGUGCCAGCAGCCGCGGUAAUACGGAGGGUCCAAGCGUUAUCCGGAAUCAUUGGGUUUAAAGGGUCCGUAGGCGGAAUAAUAAGUCAGUGGUGAAAGUCUGCAGCUCAACUGUAGAAUUGCCAUUGAUACUGUUGUUCUUGAAUUAUUAUGAAGUGGUUGGAAUGAGUAGUGUAGCGGUGAAAUGCAUAGAUAUUACUCAGAACACCUAUUGCGAAGGCAGAUCACUAAUAAUAUAUUGACGCUGAGGGACGAAAGCGUAGGUAGCGAACAGGAUUAGAUACCCUGGUAGUCUACGCCGUAAACGAUGGUUACUAGCUGUCCGGUUCGAUUGAGAGCUGGGUGGUUAAGCGAAAGUGAUAAGUAACCCACCUGGGGAGUACGUUCGCAAGAAUGAAACUCAAAUGAAUUGACGGAA